GACAGAGGGUGCAAGCGUUGUUCGGAAUCAUUGGGCGUAAAGGGCGCGUAGGCGGUUUUGUAAGUCGGAUGUGAAAGCCCAGGGCUCAACCGUGGAAGUGCAUCCGAAACUACAGAACUGGAGUCCCGGAGAGGGUGGUGGAAUUCCCAGUGUAGAGGUGAAAUUCGUAGAUAUUGGGAGGAACACCGGUGGCGAAGGCGACCGCCUGGACGGAGACUGACGCUGAGGCGCGAGAGCGUGGGGAGCAAACAGG
rnacentral:rRNA from 1 species